AGUGAACGCUGGCGGCGUGCUUAACACAUGCAAGUCGAACGAGAACGGAUUAUAGCUUGCUAUAAUUGUCAGCUAAGUGGCGCACGGGUGAGUAAUGUAUAGGUAAUAUGCCUCUUACUAAGGGAUAACAAAUGGAAACGUUGCUAAUACCUUAUACUCCUUUUUAAACGGAGUUAAUAAGGGAAAGAUUUAUUGGUAAGAGAUUAGCCUGUAUUGUAUCAGUUAGUUGGUGGGGUAAUGGCUUACCAAGACUAUGACACAUAACUGGUUUGAGAGGAUGAUCAGUCACACUGGAACUGAGACACGGUGCAGACUCCUACGGGAGGCAGCAGUGGGGAAUAUUGCACAAUGGACGAAAGUCUGAUGCAGCAACGCCGCGUGGAGGAUGACACAUUUCGGUGCGUAAACUCCUUUUAUAUGAGAAGAUAAUGACGGUAUUAUAUGAAUAAGCACCGGCUAACUCCGUGCCAGCCGCCGCAGUAA
rnacentral:rRNA from 1 species